rnacentral:rRNA from 1 species
UGGGGAAUUUUGGACAAUGGGCGAAAGCCUGAUCCAGCAAUGCCGCGUGUGUGAAGAAGGCCUUCGGGUUGUAAAGCACUUUUGUCCGGAAAGAAAUCCUUGGCUCUAAUACAGUCGGGGGAUGACGGUACCGGAAGAAUAAGCACCGGCUAACUACGUGCCAGCAGCCGCGGUAAUACGUAGGGUGCAAGCGUUAAUCGGAAUUACUGGGCGUAAAGCGUGCGCAGGCGGUUUGCUAAGACCGAUGUGAAAUCCCCGGGCUCAACCUGGGAACUGCAUUGGUGACUGGCAGGCUAGAGUAUGGCAGAGGGGGGUAGAAUUCCACGUGUAGCAGUGAAAUGCGUAGAGAUGUGGAGGAAUACCGAUGGCGAAGGCAGCCCCCUGGGCCAAUACUGACGCUCAUGCACGAAAGCGUGGGGAGCAAACAGGAUUAGAUACCCUGGUAGUCCCACGCCCUAAACGAUGUCAACUAGUUGUUGGGGAUUCAUUCCUUAGUAACGUAGCUAACGCGUGAAGUUGACCGCCUGGGGAGUACGGUCGCAAGAUU